rnacentral:rRNA from 1 species
CCGGCGCACGGGUGAGUAACACGUAUCCAACCUGCCGUCUACUCCUGGCCAGCCUUCUGAAAGGAAGAUUAAUCCAGGAUGGCAUCAUGAGUUCACAUGUCCGCAUGAUUAAAGGUAUUUUCCGGUAGACGAUGGGGAUGCGUUCCAUUAGAUAGUAGGCGGGGUAACGGCCCACCUAGUCAACGAUGGAUAGGGGUUCUGAGAGGAAGGUCCCCCACAUUGGAACUGAGACACGGUCCAA